rnacentral:lncRNA from 1 species
CCCUGUUGGGGGCUUCCUGGAGCAAUGGAGAAGACCGAGUUGGGAAGUCUGAAUAGAUGUAACCGGCUUGAAGGAGCCCGGCUGGGAAGCAGAUGUAUUUCCCACAUGCAAGGAGCAUGUUCAGUUUCCCAGGUCUCACCAAGCGCAAGCACUUUCUGUUGCCUUCUCUUGGCCCUAAGGAGAUGUGUGCAUGAAAACAUACCAACAUUCUUGUUGCCACACGACUCCUCAGAGGCAGCGAUGUUCCGGCAAAUAAUGGCGUGCGUUAAAAUACAGGUUGUGCUCUUGUGCACCUUCCUUCCUGUAGCCAAGCUGUCCACCAGACUCCCAAUUUGGAAUUCAGUGCCACCAACCAAAUGCUCAGCGUGA